rnacentral:misc_RNA from 1 species
UCCGGCUUAUCACCGGCAGUCCCCCUAGAGUGCCCAACUGAAUGCUGGCAACUAAGAUCAAGGGUUGCGCUCGUUGCGGGACUUAACCCAACAUCUCACGACACGAGCUGACGACAACCAUGCACCACCUGUCACUCUGUCCCCCGAAGGGAAAAGCCCUAUCUCUAGGGUUGUCAGAGGAUGUCAAGUCCUGGUAAGGUUCUUCGCGUUGCUUCGAAUUAAACCACAUGCUCCACCGCUUGUGCGGGCCCCCGUCAAUUCCUUUGAGUUUCAGCCUUGCGGCCGUACUCCCCAGGCGGGGCACUUACUGCGUUAGCGACGGCACCGAAUCCGUCUAGAGACCCGGCAUCUAGUGCCCAUCGUUUACGGCGUGGACUAC